rnacentral:lncRNA from 1 species
UGGCACUCUGCUGUCAGUCUUUUGAGAAUCCAAUAACAUAGCCUGCAUAGAGCACCUGGCAUGAAUGGGCUGAUCUUAGACCCAACUUUCUUUCUCUUAGUCCAACUUUCUUUCUGUUCUCUCUAGAGAGAAUCCAUGCCCUCAGGUUGGCUUUACCUGCUCCAUGUCCUCCUUUCUUUGCAUCUCUGCACAUCAGACAGCAGCAGUGGGAAAAAGGCCACUGAUAACAAGUCACCAAGCUGGUACCUAUGGAGUGUGGGUAAGUAACAGACACUCUCUGAAGAAAAUCUGAGUAACUAUUCUGCAAAAUGAUGACAAUAAAAGCCAUUACCAUAUACUUUUAAACAUUUUCUCUACAUAUCUC